GUGUGGAGUUGUCGUCGUCUGGUUGGUCCAAGGUCCAUUGACGUCAUUGUUGCUAUGCAGAAUGAUGGCCGUUUACCGCUGGUGCCAGACGCUGUCAACACUUCUCACUUCUCACUUCCUCAUAAAGUUUGCAGCAAUGCUUUGUAGCCACAGUUUUCUCCGAGAGAUGUUUCCUGUGACCUCCACCUGCACCCUACUGGGAAUUUUCAAGCAGCACACCCCCACACCCUUAUCUUCACUUUCACUCCCCUCACGCUUCACUUCAACAAAGCACCAUUGUUUAAGCACAAACCAAGCCACUAGUGUGAUUAUAUAAUUUUUAGCUAUUUACAAAAACAAUAUCCCAUUAAUCCCUCAUUUGAUCUCUGCUAAUCAGCGAUCAACACCCUCUAAAUAUGCAGCCAAGUUUGCUCUAAUACUAAAUAUAGCCCAAACUAAAUAUAGCACAUAUAAAAAAACGUAAGGGGAGGAUACAGAGGCGACCUCCAACGGAGUGAGCGUGCUUAUGGUCUCCACGUCCUCUUUCAGGGGCAGCAGCUGAUAUUGGCCGUGGGGGUCCUUCCCCUCAAAGGCCUUGUGGACAGUCCGGAGGAGAAGACUCCUGAGACAAGGAAUGAUACAACAUCCACACAAAGCAAGCACAGCAAUGACAACCAGUGACACGUUCUCCCCGGAUGCUCCCUCGAGAUAGCCACUGCCUUCGUCACAAACCCACCAAUGGUGUGGAAGACUCACCGUGAAGGAAGGUGGCUGAGGACCCCACCCAAUCAAUCGAGAGGCCCAGGAGUCCAGCCGAGAGCAGCCCGGCGGACGGGACACGUCUCACACCAAGGGACCCAGGGCGUUCCACCGGCUCCACGAGGUGCCACGACAACCGGCCACCCGGAGGAGGCCGCAGGGACCCAAUGCCACGCCCCCAGCCAACACCCACUGCCCCAUGCGCCACGACAAAAAAUUGGUCAAAAAAUACCAGUAGACGAGAGAAUAAAGGAAACGGAUUUACAAAUUAGAUGUGGGGGUAGGUUAACUGCCUACCUUCAAUGUGCAUGUUUUACAGAGUUGAGGAUGAGUCUUUGCUUUCUUACUCAUCUAUUAACAUGACAAAGUAAUAACUGUUUUGUCUGUUCGCGACAAUAUCUCCCCUAUUCAUUCCUUGACUUUCCUUUUGAUUUCCUAAAAAAAAACAUUUUUAAAAUAUGUCCCUAGUAGACUGGUUGUCAUAAAGAGUAUAGCAUCUACUCUCCUCUCGGCUUGUGUAAAAUACAUAACCGAGACAGCGAGCUAAACGUCUAUUCUAAAUGGUUCCAGCAA